GCAGCCGGGCGGCUCGUCGCUCGCAUCGAUUCGAUGCGUGAGGAAAGUCCGGGCAACACAGAGCGCCAUAUUUCCUAACGGGAAGCUGUCGGCUCAACGGCAGAGUAGCGUGACAGAAAAUAACCGCUACCGCAACAUGGUUGCGGUGGCAAGGGUGAAAAGGUGAGGUAAGAGCUCACCGGAGUUCAUAGCGAUAUGGACUGCCGCACGCCUUAUGGGUUGCAAGGUCAAGUAUACCGGCAUUUAAGGGUGGCUCGCCCAUUGCCGGGGGGUAGACUGCUAAAACGACGUGGCAACAUGUCGUUCAGAUAAAUGACGGGCCGGCGCGGAGGCUCCCGCAUAGCGGCGACAGCACCGUGACCGACAUAACCCGGCUUACAGCCCGACUGACAUC
rnacentral:RNase_P_RNA from 1 species